rnacentral:lncRNA from 1 species
AUAUAUUCCCCCUUAAAUGUAUACAAAGAAAAAAAGCACUGUAAAAUACUAUAAAAUGUUAUCGUGACACAUAAACUUUCAGAAUCAUUCAAUAAUAAGCAACAAUAAAAUAAAAUAAACCUUUAAAACUUAAUCAGCCAAUCUUGAGGGUCCUCUCUUUGGCUCUUCUCAUUUGCUUGCUCUGAUAAAUCAAGUUGAUAUGAUAUGAGUUGCUUCAUGGAGAGGGCAGAAGGUAUAGGACUGAAUCCUGCCAUAAAAUUAUGUAAAGGAGCUUGGAUACAGACCCUUCCCUACUGGAGCCUUGAGAUGAGACCAUAGCUCCAGCCAACUCCAUGACUGCAGCCCUCUGACAGAUCCUAAGUCAAAAGAUCCUGCUGAACCACAUCCAUACACUUGACCUACACAAGCCAUGAGAUAGUAAAUGUUGUGGGUUCAAGUCACCACAUUUUGGGAUGAUUUGUUAUGCAGCGAUAGAUAUCUAAUACAAUCUCUAUCUUUAUAUUAUUCAGGAAGUCAUUAAAGAAGCAACCCAUGGCAAAACUAGUUAUUUUCUUAAAACAGUAGGAAGAAGAAAAGCUUUUUGAAUGAAUCACUUCUCAUCUUCUCCGAAGUUGGAAGCAUCAAGAAUCUAAAUAAGCAUUUAUGAUGGCUGGCAUGAAUAUGUGAGUAAAUUCUCUCCUUCAUCGUGCCUAUUUUAUGAACUUGAACAAGGAAGUUGCCACAACAUCUGUGGGCCAGAGAACUAUGCCAGAAUGUUAUUUCCAGAUUGCUUCCUGUAUUUACAAAGGUAUAAAUCUUUGAUUUCUAUAUAUUCUUCUCACACCCUUCUCUGCGAACACACCUAUCUUCCCCAUUUUUUAACUGGCUAAGUUCUAUCUGCCUAUCAUGAAAAGCAAAGCCACCUAUAACAAAUUCCUUAGAUUUAAGUAACUCUUUUUUAAAUUCCGGUGUAUUUUUUGUGCCUUCUAUUGGUUAGAUUUUGUUAAAAUAAUGCUGCAUAACAAACCUUUCCAAUAAUAAUUUGAUACAAUAAUUUAUUACUGUUUAUGUACCUCCAGGUUGCCAGGGCGUCCACUGGUCUAAAUAGCACUCAUCUUCCUACUGCAGGUCUAUAGGUCCACUGAUACGGCUUUGCUACUCUACCCCGACACCCUGAGGACUAAUCUAUUAAUAGUAUGUACUUCUUAUAAUGAUGAGUGAGGCACAAAAGAGGAAGCAGAAACGUAAGAGACCUUCUAAAGCCUAUUCUCAGAACUGCCAUACUGUCGUUUCUGCCUCUGGCCAAAACAGGUCAUCAGGUACAAAGUCAAGAGCCCAAAGCCACAUGGUCCUAAGAUGAAGAAAGCCUGUGGAUUCAGGAACAGAUGAAUUUUAGGAGCCAACAACGCAAUCUACCACUUGCCUCUCUUAAGAAAUAUCAUUGUUUACCUAUGUGGUAAUUACCUGUAUACCUAUUUUUCUCUGCUAUGUUAGUACCCAUCUGCAUUGACUAUUUUAUUUGUAUGGUGCCUUUCACUUGGUAAGUUCUCAACACUGGAAAAAUAUGCAAGCCAACUAACUUUAUUCCCCCUGCACAUUGCCAAUUACAUGUAAGCUUAUAUGACAUGGUCUUUCUAUAAAGGCAAUUAUACAGAAGCCUGAAUUCUAUGCAGAGUAUUGUUCUUCUACCUUACUUUACAACAAGUAAUCAUUGUAUAGGUUUCAGCACAAUUAAAAUGUAGCAAGUCCUGUGAAGAUAUUUAGUCUGAAUUAAUAGGUUCUCGGCACUGGGCUUCUGGAUUUCUUUUUUAAAAAUUUUUUAUUUAA